rnacentral:rRNA from 1 species
AUUGAACGCUGGCGGCAGGCUUAACACAUGCAAGUCGAACGAUGAUUAUCUAGCUUGCUAGAUAUGAUUAGUGGCGGACGGGUGAGUAACAUUUAGGAAUCUGCCUAGUAGUGGGGGAUAGCUCGGGGAAACUCGAAUUAAUACCGCAUACGACCUACGGGUGAAAGGGGGCGCAAGCUCUUGCUAUUAGAUGAGCCUAGAUCAGAUUAGCUAGUUGGUGGGGUAAAGGCCCACCAAGGCGACGAUCUGUAACUGGUCUGAGAGGAUGAUCAGUCACACCGGAACUGAGACACGGUCCGGACUCCUACGGGAGGCAGCAGUGGGGAAUAUUGGACAAUGGGGGCAACCCUGAUCCAGCCAUGCCGCGUGUGUGAAGAAGGCCUUUUGGUUGUAAAGCACUUUAAGCAGGGAGGAGAGGCUAAUGGUUAAUACCCAUUAGAUUAGACGUUACCUGCAGAAUAAGCACCGGCUAACUCUGUGCCAGCAGCCGCGGUAAUACAGAGGGUGCGAGCGUUAAUCGGAAUUACUGGGCGUAAAGCGAGUGUAGGUGGCUCAUUAAGUCACAUGUGAAAUCCCCGGGCUUAACCUGGGAACUGCAUGUGAUACUGGUGGUGCUAGAAUAUGUGAGAGGGAAGUAGAAUUCCAGGUGUAGCGGUGAAAUGCGUAGAGAUCUGGAGGAAUACCGAUGGCGAAGGCAGCUUCCUGGCAUAAUAUUGACACUGAGAUUCGAAAGCGUGGGUAGCAAACAGGAUUAGAUACCCUGGUAGUCCACGCCGUAAACGAUGUCUACUAGCCGUUGGGGUCCUUGAGACUUUAGUGGCGCAGUUAACGCGAUAAGUAGACCGCCUGGGGAGUACGGCCGCAAGGUUAAAACUCAAAUGAAUUGACGGGGGCCCGCACAAGCGGUGGAGCAUGUGGUUUAAUUCGAUGCAACGCGAAGAACCUUACCUGGUCUUGACAUAGUGAGAAUCCUGCAGAGAUGCGGGAGUGCCUUCGGGAAUUCACAUACAGGUGCUGCAUGGCUGUCGUCAGCUCGUGUCGUGAGAUGUUGGGUUAAGUCCCGCAACGAGCGCAACCCUUUUCCUUAUUUGCCAGCGGGUUAAGCCGGGAACUUUAAGGAUACUGCCAGUGACAAACUGGAGGAAGGCGGGGACGACGUCAAGUCAUCAUGGCCCUUACGACCAGGGCUACACACGUGCUACAAUGGUAGGUACAGAGGGUUGCUACACAGCGAUGUGAUGCUAAUCUCAAAAAGCCUAUCGUAGUCCGGAUUGGAGUCUGCAACUCGACUCCAUGAAGUCGGAAUCGCUAGUAAUCGCAGAUCAGAAUGCUGCGGUGAAUACGUUCCCGGGCCU